rnacentral:rRNA from 1 species
GACGAACGCUGGCGGCGUGCCUAAUACAUGCAAGUAGAACGCAGUUGCGAACGGGGGAGUAACGCGUAGGUAACUGCCUGGUAGCGGGGGCUAACUAUUGGAAACGAUAGCUAAAACCGCAUACUCACAGAUGGACCUGCGUUGUAUUAGCUAGUUGGUGAGGUAACGGCUCACCAAGGCAACGAUACAUAGCCGACCGGAGCGGGUGAAGGGAACCACUGGGACUGGUACACGGGCCCGAAGUCUACGGGAUGCAGGAGGAGGGAAGUUUGGGGAAUGGGGGGAACCCUGACCGAGAAACGACGCGUUAGUGAAGAAGGUUGUCGGAUUUGAAAGCUCUGUUUUUAAGGAAGCGGUACUUAACCAGAAAGGGACGGCUAACUACGUGCCAGCAGCCGCGGUAAUAC